rnacentral:ncRNA from 1 species
CCCUGACAGCCACAUGACGUGGUUGACCUUAACCCAGACAGGAGAAUCUCAUG